AGGCAAGGCCAAGGCUUCUUGAAAGGCUGGUCAUGCCCCAGUGAUCAAUGAAGAACUCAGGGAUAUCCCAAAACUCAGGACUAUAAGAAAUUCUAUCUACAGGCACAAUGGGGGAGCAGGUACCAGGUGGCCAGCAUCCUAAAUGACUCUCAGCAGCUGCAGAGAAUGUAAAUAACAAGAGCUGCCUAUAAAUCUACCUCAGAAGACAAAGGGAAAAGCAAAACUCUGCCCAGGAAGACCUUACUUUACAAACCAGGUGACCAAAUUUCUAAAACAUCAUUCCCGUAAUCCCUGAUCAACAGAAAGGAAGCUCUGGAAGCAUGAAUGCUCAACCAUAUUUACCAGCCUUCCUGUGGUCAUUUGUCUGAGCUCCAGCUAGUGAAGUAUGAGUAGAACGGACAUGCACCACUUCCAGACCUGGCACCGGCAAACCCCCCAUGGCAACCCUCCAACCCUUUCCUCAACAACUGGACCACGCUGGAAAGGACUGAGGAUCUAGAGGAGGACAGGGCUGUAAUAUGGAAGGAGUUUGGUUUCUGAAGGACCAUGUAGCAGGCCACCUGCAGGGCGGGAACAUCUUUAAUAGGUUUGGAAUAGCAAGAAAUAAACUGGUCUUGUAUUAAACAACUAA
rnacentral:lncRNA from 1 species